rnacentral:rRNA from 1 species
AACGAACGCUGGCGGCAGGCUUAACACAUGCAAGUCGAACGGUUGUAGCAAUACAGCAGUGGCGGACGGGUGAGUAACACGUGGGAACGUGCCCUUUGGUUCGGAACAACUCAGGGAAACUUGAGCUAAUACCGAAUGUGCCCUUCGGGGGAAAGAUUUAUCGCCAUUGGAGCGGCCCGCGUCUGAUUAGCUUGUUGGUGAGGUAAAGGCUCACCAAGGCUACGAUCAGUAGCUGGUCUGAGAGGAUGAUCAGCCACAUUGGGACUGAGACACGGCCCAAACUCCUACGGGAGGCAGCAGUGGGGAAUCUUGCGCAAUGGGCGAAAGCCUGACGCAGCCAUGCCGCGUGAGUGAUGAAGGUCUUAGGAUUGUAAAAUUCUUUCACCGGGGACGAUAAUGACGGUACCCGGAGAAGAAGCCCCGGCUAACUUCGUGCCAGCCGCCGCAGUAAGAC